rnacentral:rRNA from 1 species
UGGGUAACCUGCCUCAAAGAGGGGAAUAGCCUCCCGAAAGGGAGAUUAAUACCGCAUAAUAUGUUUAGGUCGCAUGACUUUAACAUCAAAGGAUUUCUUUUAGAAAUUCCACUUUGAGAUGGACCCGCGGCGCAUUAGCUAGUUGGUGAGGUAACGGCUCACCAAGGCAACGAUGUGUAGCCGACCUGAGAGGUGAUCGGCCACAUUGGAACUGAGACACGGCCCAGACUCCUAGGGAGG